GCACCCAUAGCUCAAUUGGAUAGAGCAUCUGACUACGGAUCAGAAGGCUGGUGGUUCGAGUCCACCUGGGUGUACCA
rnacentral:tRNA from 1 species